GGUAAUCAACGCGUGCAUCGCGCAUGUCGCGAACACAUAGGGCGCUAUAUUAUUUCAUUCCUGCUCAUAAAAUCCUAGAAAAUUAAUUUUAAUAUUUAAUAUUACAUUUGUAACCAAUAACCAAGGUCAUAUUGUUUGAAAAUUGUGUUAUAUUCAAGAAUCAAUGGAUUUCUUCAUCUUACAUACUCUGUACACAAAUUUGUGUGAUAACAAUCGUUUGAAUCGUCAUAAACUCUCUGUCAGGACAACUUAUCAUUAUUAAUACAUACAAAAAAGAAGGGAUAAAAUAUCAAACGAGUUAAAAAGUACAAGUACAAACAGAAACGAGUAACAAUCUUUAGUCGAGUUAGUCGGAAGACGCGUCGCUUUCACUCUCGGAUUCGCCGGAAUCGUCAUUGGCUUCCGCUUCGGCAUCGCCCUCCUCGUCACCAUCUUCAUCAUCAUCGUCGACAGUCUCACCAGAUUGAAGGAUUAUAAAGUAUACCUGGAUAAAUUACCAGAGGAAGAACGAGCGCAACUGGAGUUGGACAUGGAGAAGAAGAAAAAGAAGACUGAGAA